CGCGGCAACGCAAGUGGUCCGCCGCCCGCGGUGUCGCGAGAAGUCCACUGAACCUUAUCAUUUAGAGUGAGGAGAAGUCAUAACAAGGUUUCUGUAGGUGAACCUACGGAAGGAUCAUUG
rnacentral:rRNA from 1 species